GACGAACGCUGGCGGCGUGCCUAAUACAUGCAAGUCGAACGCUGAAGAGAGGAGCUUGCUCUUCUUGGAUGAGUUGCGAACGGGUGAGUAACGCGUAGGUAACCUGCCUUGUAGCGGGGGAUAACUAUUGGAAACGAUAGCUAAUACCGCAUAACAAUGGAUGACACAUGUCAUUUAUUUGAAAGGGGCAAUUGCUCCACUACAAGAUGGACCUGCGUUGUAUUAGCUAGUAGGUGAGGUAAUGGCUCACCUAGGCGACGAUACAUAGCCGACCUGAGAGGGUGAUCGGCCACACUGGGACUGAGACACGGCCCAGACUCCCACGGGAGGCAGCAGUAGGGAAUCUUCGGCAAUGGGGGCAACCCUGACCGAGCAACGCCGCGUGAGUGAAGAAGAUUUUCGGAUCGUAAAGCUCUGUUGUAAGUCAAGAACGGGUGUGAGAGUGGAAAGUUCACACUGUGACGGUAGCUUACCAGAAAGGGACGGCUAACUACGUG
rnacentral:rRNA from 1 species